CUCACCAGGUUAGUAAACCAAUCAUUUCAUGCAGUGACUUCCGUCCCAGCACAGCUCUCCAGUUGCCAGAAGGCUAGCCUACCUUCAAAACCCAGAAGAGGGGUCUCCUGUGAAUGUGAGGAAACAGCUACUGUGGCCUGGGAACCAUCCGCAUCCUGGUCUUGGGGGUUUGCCCUCUCUGAAUGCCAACAAAAUUACUGGUGGAGAAGGAAGCAUUUGGCUUUAUUGUUGAGCAUUAACUGGUCACAUUGUGACAUAAAAGAGUGACCUCGGACUGCCGACUGCAGCAGGAAAGAACUAUCUUAUGGUGAAAAUCCAACCCUACCAAAUCCACAAUCCUAUCAUGUCAUGGUAAAAGCUCUUAUACCUCAAUACAAGUUCAGAGCCUUGGAAAAAUGAAUUUUCUGAACAUCGUUUUCACGGGGGAGAAAAAAAUCACAGCAGGUUAUUGACCCAAAAGUGGCUCUUCCUGACUUCCAACAAUAAAAUACAAAUGAAUAUGUGAGAAGAACGGAGGAUAUUCUACCGCAUCAAGAUUUUCUAUCACCCUGUUAUUGGAGUUUGGAAAUUCUCUAACUCUAAAGGUCUUUGCCUCUGCUGUUCACUUGGCCCAAGCAUCCAUUCCCCAGCAUGUGUGUACUCAUCUGAAUGCAGCUGCUACCUGCUCAGUGAAGCUUCUCCUUCACCGAUGGCUUUCCAUUGCACGUUGCACAGUCAUUAUGACAAUGCUUAUCAGGUAAGCCAAGACCUGUGUCUCCCUCAUCCCGGUCUCCUUGCUUAGAACACCACGACCCACAUGCAUUCAGGAAACCAGUAUUUACCCAGAGCUGACUGUGGCCCUCUGCCAGACCUCCAGGAUAUAGCAGUG
rnacentral:lncRNA from 13 species